rnacentral:rRNA from 1 species
AACGAACGCUGGCGGCAGGCUUAACACAUGCAAGUCGAACGCCCCGCAAGGGGAGUGGCAGACGGGUGAGUAACGCGUGGGAACAUACCCUUUUCUACGGAAUAGCUCUGGGAAACUGGAAUUAAUACCGUAUACGCCCUACGGGGGAAAGAUUUAUCGGGGAAGGAUUGGCCCGCGUUGGAUUAGCUAGUUGGUGGGGUAAAGGCCUACCAAGGCGACGAUCCAUAGCUGGUCUGAGAGGAUGAUCAGCUACAUUGGGACUGAGACACGGCCCAAACUCCUACGGGAGGCAGCAGUGGGGAAUAUUGGACAAUGGGCGCAAGCCUGAUCCAGCCAUGCCGCGUGAGUGAUGAAGGCCUUAGGGUUGUAAAGCUCUUUCACCGAUGAAGAUAAUGACGGUAGUCGGAGAAGAAGCCCCGGCUAACUUCGUG